AUUUACCUUAUUCAUGUUAUCGGCAUGUUUGUUUUAAAUUGCUUUUUUUUUUUUGUAAAUUUGGAAAUGGCGAGAAAGCAUGAGAAACUUAAUAAAACAAACAUGCCGAUAACAUGACUAAGUUCAUGUUUUGAUCAAUUUUUUGCGACUCUGAAAAUUUCCUGCGACCUCUCUAUAUUUAUGUGAGUAUUCUUAUGUUUGAUGGUUGGAAUCUUUGAUGUUUAGAUUUCUCAAAAACGCAGAAGAAUGAUCUCACUAUGAUUCUCAUCGGAAAGGACAUUCUGGAGCAAUCAAAUGCCAACAAGGUGAAAUAAAUAGAUUUCGUCAAAUUAAGGUUACUCUUUAACCUCCUUACAUAUUUCCAUUGGGAUAUAUUAACUUUGAUAACGAACUGCUUUUAUUCAAGAUUCGUCCUAUUUUUAUCAAAAAAAAAGAUUCGUCCUAUUGCUUUAUAUAUUAGUAGUUCCUAUAAAGUUCUCAGUUUCCAAAAACCGAGUCUUUUUUGUCGCUGCCAAUUGUUUGAAGCCAUAAAAACGUGUAUUAUGUUACUGUCACGGUAUCCUCUAUAUAGCGUAGAAUGGAGUACAUAAUUAUUAGAUCUAGAUUCGUCCUUCUUUUGUUUUUAUUCAAUUUUCUCAUUUUUUCUUUAACUUAGUCGUCUCUGUUUUUUGUUCAGGUCUCUGAGAUGUGAAAUGUUCGUCCGUGAAACUUUUUUACUAUAGGUGAGUAUCCUUUUGCUUGAUGGGUCUGGUAAAAUAUUGUUACUUUUACCAAAAAAAAAAAAACUGAAACUGAAAUAUAUGUGUUUAGUUUAAUUUGUAUAUGUAUUUUGUUUUGAUUAUCAGAAAAAUUAAUAAUCUUUUUUGGAAUUAUGUUAUAGAAAAGAAGUUGUGUAUAACAACAAUUUGAAGAUAGAGAAUGGUUCCAAGCUAAUUGACCUCUUUAAUUAAGGUUUGGUGGUGUAGUUUCAAAUUUGUUAUUACUGUUUCUAAUUAUUACCCUUACUCCAUUGUAACAGGUAGGUCAUAUUUUCAUCAGUUUGUAUCUUUUAAAUGAUCUUAUGUGUCCUUAUGUGUUCAUGGAAAUUAAAGAAGAGUAUUUGCAUACCAUAACGCAGAAUACCA
rnacentral:lncRNA from 1 species